rnacentral:rRNA from 1 species
UACAGAGGUCUCGAGCGUUAGGCGGAAUCACUGGGCUUAAAGCGUGUGUAGGCGGAUCGGUAAGUACCUUGUGAAAUCCCACAGCUUAACUGUGGAACUGCUUGGUAUACUGCCAGUCUUGAGCCACUUAGGGGCUACCGGAACAAAUGGUGGAGCGGUGAAAUGCGUAGAUAUCAUUUGGAACGCCCAAUGGUGAAAAACAGGUAGCUGGGAGUGUGCUGACGCUGAGACACGAAAGCCAGGGGGAGCAAACGGGG